AUGCACCGGGAGCCCGACGUGGGAUUCGAUCCCGGGUCUCCAGGAUCGUGCCCUGGGUCAAAGGCAGGCGCCAAACUGCUGCGCCACCCAGGGAUCCCUCAAGUGCACAGCUUGAUGAAAUCAGCCUGCCUCCUCACAUCCUGCCUCUGUGCUGCCCGCCUAGCUCUGAGUUGUCAGAAGCUAAUGUGGUCAGAGGUCCUGCCAAGGCUCUUGCAGUGGAGGGGAGAAAGUGAUGUUGAAGAAUGUGAUUCCCUACAAGUGCCUCCUUGGCUCUCAUCUAACCGCGAGAGGCAGCCUCUGCAUCCCCUGGGUUUUCAGUAG
rnacentral:lncRNA from 12 species